rnacentral:rRNA from 1 species
GACGAACGCUGGCGGCGUGCCUAAUACAUGCAAGUAGGACGCAGUUGCGAACGGGUGAGUAACGCGUAGGUAACUGCCUGUUAAAGGGGGAUAAAUAUCGGAAACGAUAGCUAAUACCGCAUACUAGUAGAUGGACCUGCGUUGUAUGAGCUAGUAGGUAGGGUAAUGGCCUACCUAGGCAACGAUACAUAGCCGGCCGUGGAGGGUGAACGGCCAAACUGGGAAUGAGACAAGGCCCAGACUCCUAAGGGAGGCAGCAGUAGGGAAACUUCGGAAAUGGGGGGAAACCUGACCGAGCAACGCCGCGGGAGUUCAGAAGGGUUGCGGAUCUGAAAGCUCUGUUGUUAGGGAAGCGGUACUUAACCAGAAAGGGACGGCUAACUACGUGCCAGCCACCGCGGUAAUUC